GUUAAGCGACUAAGCGUACACGGUGGAUGCCCUGGCAGUCAGAGGCGAUGAAGGACGUGCUAAUCUGCGAAAAGCGCCGGCGAGGUGAUAUGAACCUUUGACCCGGCGAUGUCCGAAUGGGGAAACCCAGUGCAAUCCGUUGCACUAUCGUUAACUGAAUACAUAGGUUAACGAGGCGAACCGGGGGAACUGAAACAUCUAAGUACCCCGAGGAAAAGAAAUCAACCGAGAUUCCCCCAGUAGCGGCGAGCGAACGGGGAGCAGCCCGGAGUCUGAAUCAGCUUGUGUGUUAGUGGAACGGUCUGGAAAGUCCGACGGUACAGGGUGAUAGUCCCGUACACGAAAGCACACUUGCUGUGAACUCGAAGAGUAGGGCGGGACACGUGGUAUCCUGUCUGAAUAUGGGGGGACCAUCCUCCAAGGCUAAAUACUCCUGACUGACCGAUAGUGAACCAGUACCGUGAGGGAAAGGCGAAAAGAACCCCGGCGAGGGGAGUGAAAAAGAACCUGAAACCGUGUACGUACAAGCAGUGGGAGCCUCUUUAUGGGGUGACUGCGUACCUUUUGUAUAAUGGGUCAGCGACUUAUAUUCUGUAGCAAGGUUAACCGUAUAGGGGAGCCGAAGGGAAACCGAGUCUUAACUGGGCGUUAAGUUGCAGGGUAUAGACCCGAAACCCGGUGAUCUAGCCAUGGGCAGGUUGAAGGUUGGGUAACACUAACUGGAGGACCGAACCGACUAAUGUUGAAAAAUUAGCGGAUGACCUGUGGCUGGGGGUGAAAGGCCAAUCAAACCGGGAGAUAGCUGGUUCUCCCCGAAAGCUAUUUAGGUAGCGCCUCGUGAACUCAUCUUCGGGGGUAGAGCACUGUUUCGGCUAGGGGGCCAUCCCGGCUUACCAACCCGAUGCAAACUACGAAUACCGAAGAAUGUUAUCACGGGAGACACACGGCGGGUGCUAACGUCCGUCGUGAAGAGGGAAACAACCCAGACCGCCAGCUAAGGUCCCAAAGUCAUGGUUAAGUGGGAAACGAUGUGGGAAGGCACAGACAGCCAGGAUGUUGGCUUAGAAGCAGCCAUCAUUUAAAGAAAGCGUAAUAGCUCACUGGUCGAGUCGGCCUGCGCGGAAGAUGUAACGGGGCUAAACCAUGCACCGAAGCUGCGGCAGCGACACUAUGUGUUGUUGGGUAGGGGAGCGUUCUGUAAGCCGUUGAAGGUGUGCUGUGAGGCAUGCUGGAGGUAUCAGAAGUGCGAAUGCUGACAUAAGUAACGAUAAAGCGGGUGAAAAGCCCGCUCGCCGGAAGACCAAGGGUUCCUGUCCAACGUUAAUCGGGGCAGGGUGAGUCGACCCCUAAGGCGAGGCCGAAAGGCGUAGUCGAUGGGAAACAGGUUAAUAUUCCUGUACUUGGUGUUACUGCGAAGGGGGGACGGAGAAGGCUAUGUCAGCCGGGCGACGGUUGUCCCGGUUUAAGCAUGUAGGCGGAGGUUCCAGGUAAAUCCGGUACCUUUUAACGCUGAGGUGUGAUGACGAGGCACUACGGUGCUGAAGUGAUAAAUGCCCUGCUUCCAGGAAAAGCCUCUAAGCAUCAGGUAACACGAAAUCGUACCCCAAACCGACACAGGUGGUCAGGUAGAGAAUACCAAGGCGCUUGAGAGAACUCGGGUGAAGGAACUAGGCAAAAUGGUGCCGUAACUUCGGGAGAAGGCACGCUGAUGUGUAGGUGAAGCCCCUGCGGGUGGAGCUGAAAUCAGUCGAAGAUACCAGCUGGCUGCAACUGUUUAUUAAAAACACAGCACUGUGCAAACACGAAAGUGGACGUAUACGGUGUGACGCCUGCCCGGUGCCGGAAGGUUAAUUGAUGGGGUUAGCGGCAACGCGAAGCUCUUGAUCGAAGCCCCGGUAAACGGCGGCCGUAACUAUAACGGUCCUAAGGUAGCGAAAUUCCUUGUCGGGUAAGUUCCGACCUGCACGAAUGGCGUAAUGAUGGCCAGGCUGUCUCCACCCGAGACUCAGUGAAAUUGAACUCGCUGUGAAGAUGCAGUGUACCCGCGGCAAGACGGAAAGACCCCGUGAACCUUUACUAUAGCUUGACACUGAACACUGGUCCUUGAUGUGUAGGAUAGGUGGGAGGCUUUGAAGCGUGGACGCCAGUCUGCGUGGAGCCAACCUUGAAAUACCACCCUUUAAUGGCUGGUGUUCUAACGUAGACCCGUAAUCCGGGUUGCGGACAGUGUCUGGUGGGUAGUUUGACUGGGGCGGUCUCCUCCCAAAGAGUAACGGAGGAGCACGAAGGUUGGCUAAUCCUGGUCGGACAUCAGGAGGUUAGUGCAAUGGCAUAAGCCAGCUUGACUGCGAGCGUGACGGCGCGAGCAGGUGCGAAAGCAGGUCAUAGUGAUCCGGUGGUUCUGAAUGGAAGGGCCAUCGCUCAACGGAUAAAAGGUACUCCGGGGAUAACAGGCUGAUACCGCCCAAGAGUUCAUAUCGACGGCGGUGUUUGGCACCUCGAUGUCGGCUCAUCACAUCCUGGGGCUGAAGUAGGUCCCAAGGGUAUGGCUGUUCGCCAUUUAAAGUGGUACGCGAGCUGGGUUUAGAACGUCGUGAGACAGUUCGGUCCCUAUCUGCCGUGGGCGCUGGAGAAUUGAGGGGGGCUGCUCCUAGUACGAGAGGACCGGAGUGGACGCAUCACUGGUGUUCGGGUUGUCAUGCCAAUGGCACUGCCCGGUAGCUAAAUGCGGAAGAGAUAAGUGCUGAAAGCAUCUAAGCACGAAACUUGCCCCGAGAUGAGUUCUCCCUGAGACCUUGAGUCUCCUGAAGGAACGUUGAAGACGACGACGUUGAUAGGUCGGGUGUGUAAGCGCAGCGAUGCGUUGAGCUAACCGAUACUAAUGAACCGUGAGGCUUAACC
rnacentral:rRNA from 1 species